UGAGGAAUAUUGGGCAAUGCCCGCAAGGGUGACCCAGCAACGCCGCGUGGAGGAUGAAUGUCGUAAGAUUGUAAACUCCUGUUAGAGGGGAAGAAUAGUACCGGUUGGACCGGUAUAUGACUGUACCCUCAGAGAAAGCCCCGGCUAACUACGUGCCAGCAGCCGCGGUAAUACGUAGGGGGCAAGCGUUGUCCGGGUUUACUGGGUGUAAAGGGCGCGCAGGCGGGAUAAAAAGUCAGUGGUGAAAUCCUACAGCUUAACUGUAGAACUGCCUUUGAUACUUUUAUUCUUGAGUUCGGGAGAGAGAGACGGAAUUCCAGGUGUAGUGGUGAAAUACGUAGAUAUCUGGAAGAACACCAGUUGCGAAGGCGGUCUCUUGGUCCGACACUGACGCUGAGGCGCGAAAGCGUGGGGAGCAAACA
rnacentral:rRNA from 1 species